rnacentral:rRNA from 1 species
CGUACACUCCUGCGGGAGGCAGCAGUGGGGAAUAUUGCACAAUGGGCGCAAGCCUGAUGCAGCGACGCCGCGUGGGGGAUGAAGGCCUUCGGGUUGUAAACUCCUUUCGCUAGGGACGAAGCUUUUUUGUGACGGUACCUAGAUAAGAAGCACCGGCUAACUACGUGCCAGCAGCCGCGGUAAUACGUAGGGUGCGAGCGUUGUCCGGAAUUACUGGGCGUAAAGGGCUCGUAGGUGGUUUGUCGCGUCGUCUGUGAAAUUCUGGGGCUUAACUCCGGGCGUGCAGGCGAUACGGGCAUAACUUGAGUGCUGUAGGGGUAACUGGAAUUCCUGGUGUAGCGGUGAAAUGCGCAGAUAUCAGGAGGAACACCGAUGGCGAAGGCAGGUUACUGGGCAGUUACUGACGCUGAGGAGCGAAAGCAUGGGUAGCGAACAGGAUUAGAAACCCCUGUAGUCCCAUGAU